rnacentral:rRNA from 1 species
GACAGAGGGUGCAAACGUUGUUCGGAAUUACUGGGCGUAAAGCGCGUGUAGGCGGCUUGGCAAGUCGGGUGUGAAAGCCCUGGGCUCAACCUAGGAAGUGCACUCGAAACUGCCUCGCUGGAGUGCCGGAGAGGAAAGCGGAAUCUCGGUGUAGAGGUGAAAUUCGUAGAUAUCGAGAGGAACACCGGUGGCGAAGGCGGCUCUCUGGACGGUUACUGACGCUGAGACGCGAAAGCGUGGGGAGCAAACAGG